UUUCAUUAUUCUAUUUAAAACAUUAUUUAUGCAGUUGUAAUUGCAGUGUAAAUGGAUUUUGAUAAAUGGUAAGGUUUAUAUUGAUUUAAGAUGACACCGACAUUUAUUUAAUAUUAUAUCUGGUGCUUUAAGGAGAGGGAAGAAACCUGAAUUUAAAUGAGCGGUAGUAAAACGUGCAGCGUCUGUUUCACCAUUAGGGGGCGCAAUGCUUCUAAAUUUACACCGGUUUGCCUUGCCCCAGUUUUAGGUAUAUUAUACUCCACAAAUCAGGACUGUGCAGGUCCGUAUAAUGUGAGGCCAACAACCUCAGUAAAAACAUUAACUUACAGAUUUGCACAGAAAACUCUAACCAACACACAACUCAAAUUCAACAGUUCAGUUUGAUUAACCUGUGAAAUGACGUUGUAUUCGUGUUGCUAGAAGGCUUUCUGGUGUAACCAUGAAAGAGAGGGGUGUAGAAUAAAGCUUUGGACUCAUAAAGACCCAUCUUGACGUAUCCUCCCUGUGUGCGCUAUUGAUAUUCGGAGGAAGGUAAUCAAUGCCCGCUGACUAAGGAAGAUACCAGCUCAGCGAGGCCUGAAAUCUUGCUUUUGUUGUAAUUUUAUUUUAUUGGUGCGGUAUCCUGUUUGCUGUCUCACUGGCUCGGGUGUCAUUUUCAGAUAUUUCAUAAAGCCAGGGACCUCAUAGACCAAAGUAAAUCUAAAACUCUCUCUGGGUUCCUCUACUACUGUUAUAUAAAAGCCAGUAGAAGAUUUGUUUUGACUGGGUCACUCAUACCAUGCUGUCUUAAUGUAGUAGAUUAAAUAACUCAAUUCUAACAGAUAGAAAUCAUGUUAGGUACAAUAUUAUUAAUGAAAUGAAUUUCAAAAUGCAUGUUGCAAUUUUUGUCAUGGGACAUGUACUUCUAUUAUUAGUAACAUGAUAAAUUGACGAUUGGUUAAGAAAUAUUUUCCAGAUUCUUCUGUGCUUUGUGGUAUUAUUAGCUGGUUUGUCUCACUU